UCCCUUUUGUAAACCUAAUUAAAUUAAAGUUCUCUCUCUGCUCUCAUCGUCUUCUUCCUUGAGAGGCGAUUUGUUGAUUCAGUCCCGACGAAAUCAAGUUCAAGAGAAGAAUCAAUCAAUCUCUUGCGAUGAGAGAUCUACAGUCUCUAGAUAAGUUCUCUUUGCUUAUUUUAUAUGAGUUUCUAGAUUUUUCUUUGCCUUUGUGAUUUUUCCGUGUUAGGGUUUUCAAUUUCGAUUGUAUUGACUUUGUUUUGUUCUUUUCAUCCUUUAGCGACGAUCAAUCGCUUCCAGUUCCCAUGAAAUCGCCAUCUCUAGGGGAUGAAGUCGAUCAAGCCUUUGCCUAAGGGUGUUCAUCACUCCAAGCGUUCUGGAAUUAUCAUCUUUGACAUGACGAGGAAGGUCGUGGAAGAACUUGUGUUCAACAGUCUCGAUGCGACCAAGGUUUCUAUCUUUGUGGGUGUUGUUUCAUGCUCUAUCAAAGUUGUGGAUGAUGGAUCAAGCGUUUCCAGAGACGAUUUGGUUUUGUUGGGAAAAAGAUACACCACUUCAAAGUUUCAUGAUUUGGAGUCAGCCAGUGAAAAUUUUGGAUUUCGUGGAGGGGCGUUAGCGUUAGCUUCAAUAUCAGAUAAUCUCGUUACUAGAAAUCAGGACAAAAGCUAUUGGGAAGCCUAAUGGUUAUCGAAAGAAGUAUGACAUCCAUGGAGCAUGCAUGAGCACUCUUACAUUUAAACUGAGGUAUGUGAAUAUCUUGAUAUUCUACAUCUGAAAAUCAGUUGUUCUCGGGUUUCUGAAGAUCGUCAUAAGAGUUUCAGGUUUCGCAGAUAACAUCAUGGUCCUUGUUUGAAAACUAAACAGUAAUUGAAAUUUAAAAAGAGGUAAUUUGGAUUACCUCAAUUCGUCUACCACCAAGAGGCAUGAUUCUCUGUGAUAGACUUCCCCGGAACCUGACUAUUGCGUCGGGUUCAAAGCCAAAGUUGGAACCGACCAUAGUUGAAACCAACCCUGCCUAUCAUGCUCCCAACGAGGGUCACACCGACGCUCGGUAGAAGCUAGAGAGAGGAUAUUGUUUUUCCAUCUCUUAUAACGGGUACCAAUAUCGUUCCUCGAACCGUGGUGGGACACCGAUAUCAUGCUGAGUCAUCACCACUUUGUUGGCUGAGGAUUGGUGACCUUUUUCCUCUUUAAUAACUACUUAGGUUUUAGCCUUUUAAGACCACAAUCAGUGAUGUGAAUAUGUGAUGUGAAUAUGUGAUAAGCAUACAGAAGACAGUUAGGUAAACCUCAAUCGCACAUUACCAAAACUCAGCUAUUCAACUUGGUCUCAUGCUCAUUAUAAUCAUGCCAAAUCUCCUCCUCUCAUUUUCGUCAUAGAAGCCGAAAUAUGUGUAG